rnacentral:rRNA from 1 species
CCUGACGGACGUCUUGAACCCUGACGGGACCACCCUAUACCUGCGAAAGGGGACCGUCCUAGCGGUGGGAACGAUGAAUCAGGCACGGUGGCCCGUUUACCUUCACAUAAUUCCCUGCGUACCACUUCCACGUUGCUUCCCCGCAAUCCUCACUCAUUGGUGGGCGCGGGGGAGGUCUCCAACAAACGCACCUGCGCUCAACAGCAGUCAGAUGACCAAUGACAAAAUCAUUAAAAACUUUCAACAACGGAUCUCUUGGUUCCCGCAUCGAUGAAGAACGCAGCGAAAUGCGAUAAGUAAUGUGAAUUGCAGAAUUCAGUGAAUCAUCGAAUCUUUGAACGCACAUUGCGCCCCCUGGUAUUCCGGGGGGCAUGCCUGUUCGAGCCUCAAUGAGACAUCUCCCUCAGUGCUGGGCUUCCGGCACGUAUGGGGGGUUUUGGUGGAUGCCGACGUCUUGAACGGCGUGGGUUCUGCCCAAAUCGACAGUCCGCGAGCCCAGAGGUCACCAGCCGACGUAUGGAGAUACUUUCCUCGUCGGCUUCGUGACACAUGAGUGGAAAUGGGACCUUAAGCGG